CCAUGGAUAUUGACAUGCAGCCAGGAAUCGUGUUUACUGACAUUUAUAUGUGCCUGAUUACGACGUCGGGGAAAUACAUAAAGCAAAUCUGCCUGUGAACGCUUUAUAGAACUACAAUAUAGGUAGGUCUAAAUCCGAGUGAUCACUUAUAUCAAUGUUAUAAAUAUAUAUAUUGAUAUAUUGAAUUGAUGAGUUGUCAACACAAUAUAUAACAAUACAAUAGGGUAUGAUUUUACCCCAAAAUCCAACAUUUUGACACAAAACGAUAACUGCAAAUCCAUGUUUCUUUGCCUGGAGUCCAGCUGUUUCUGUGAAUUGCAGCGAUCCAUUUGCUUCUUUUUUCUGUAGCUUUGGUAGUCUGUAAAAAUAUACCUCAGAUUUCUUGUCAAAUUUAUUUGUACAGUCAAUAGCAAAGCUCUUUCCCGUUUUGGAUGUGCUUUGUGUGUUUUUCGUGGCAUUCACGCUGAAAAUCAUUGCUGCCACUCAGUCUUUUUGCCACUCAGUGGGCGUAACCGCAGUCAUAAAGGUUGACGGUGACGUCACUUGCAUACCCUCCCAUGCGCAUUAGCUUGAUCCAGCCUGAAAAAUACAGUUUUUUUGUCAUGAUUCGAGCGUUUAGAAACUAAAUUUAUGAGACAGUUGUUGUCAGAUUUCAUUGGUGAUUUCAAAUAUGAAAUUUAAUCGUAAACUUGGCAAACAGCUUUGGAGAAUUUGAUGUUUCCCCAUUCAAAGAGUUAGGAGCUGUACAACCGAGAGCCGUUUCUAAGAUGGCCGCCGAGUGAAAUGCGUUGUCUUAAAGGGACUUUGAUGUAAUACACAUGUGCUGGACGUCAUCGUUUCCACAGAUUCACGUUUUUGUUGUUUAUAUGUAGACCGCUUUCAAAAACUUGCACUUUGAAACCCGUUUUCAGGCACCCAAAACGCUGCUGUCAUGUAAAUGAGUGGCCAAAACGCAUGAAAAGUUUUAUGUUUUUUGUGUAAACGGCCCCUCAGUUGUAUCUGACCGCCCCUCCCCUCAGUUACAUAAUUAAAGCGAAGACAGUCGAGUGCAUGAAGUGUCCAACCUUACACUUUUGUUUUUUUCUGGUUAAUUAAGUGCAUCAUCGAGGUAUUUAAAGUGCAUUUAUUUAUUUAUUUUAUUUUUUUUACAAUUUGCAGUGUGAACACAACACUUGCACUAUUUAUACUACAAAACAGUACUUGAAUUGGGAUGCACCAUGGGACUUUCAUCAGUAAGCAACAACUUAGUAAACAGUAAACACCAAACAUUACUUUCAUUAUAAAGCACUCAGAAACUUUCUGAAACACUUUGGCAAGCACCUAACACAGGAAAUGUCAUCUAAUUUUGACUUGUUUUUAUUUUUAUGUCCAAGAGUCAAGAUUGUUUGUAGAAACCUCAAACUAGUCAAGUAAAGUCAAGUCACAUUUAUUUCUACAGCACUUUUAUACACUACAGAUUGUUUCAAAGCAGAUUCAACAAUAUUAAUGUGUGCAAAAUUCUUCCAUUAUGAAUCAAAUACAGUUUCAGCUGUAAAGCAGCUCUGAAAACACAAGAGUGUCAUUAUUCAGCUCAGUUUGCUUCAAUGCCGAUUCAAUUCAGUUCAUUAACAGUGUGAAUGUUGCAAAGUUUGUUAAUUAUGAAGCAAACUCAACAGCUUUACGGAGAAGACAAUAGUGUCAUCAUUAAGCUCAAUUCAAUGUGGUUAAAAGCAUGUGGUCUGUAUUCAUAAAAACAUACAAAAAUAGUUUUAAUGUAUUAAAACACAACUUAGGCCUUUAAAAUAAUUUUGCUUAAUAUUCACUUUUUACAUAAAAAUAUCUUUGAUAUAACAAAAUGUCUCAUUUUAAAAUAGUAUUUAUAUCUAUGAAAUAUUUAAAAUGUAUUUUUAAUGCUAAAAAAAUCCCUUUUCUGAAGGGACAAAGGCAUUGAAACGGGCGGGUAAAUGUGUCAUAGUGAAACCAAACGAGACGCGAGUCAACUUCAGAUCACAUCUAUCUCACCACACCUUUUUCCACUCGGCUUUUUAUAAUUGUUCAAAAACCAUGCGGCUCUGACCUCAAGCACACACACACACACACACACACACACUUAAAAAAUCCCCCGGCUCAGCUCUCCACACACCGUCUCGCUGUGUCAGGUUGUCAUGGCUGCAAACAGACUUUGAAAGGCUGGUCUGAUAAAGCGAGGUGGGGAAUUGAAACCUGGCCUGGUGUUCCCUGUAUGAAAAUAAACGCUCGGGCCUUCAAACUGAAGCAGCUCUACAUGAGAAGGAAGCUUCUGCAGUAUCUGAUGUCCUUGUUCAGAUAUAAAGAAGAAAGAGAAGAACGCUGUGGUUUUAAUGCCACUUUAAACCUGAUGUGCAUGACAACCGCUAAAAGCGACAGACCAGACCCUCUUAAAACCACAGAGCUCUAAAGAUCUGGGUUAAAAAUCAUUCAGACACAUGAUUCAUCUGAAUAUAUUCUCAUUAAUCGACUGAUCUUGAUCUCUGCUUCCUUGCACACAAUCAUCACAGCAUUAAAAGACGCCUUUAUCAAAUAAAUAACAGGCUUUAAGCAAAUACAUUUGUAGACGGCAUGCGUGCAUGUCUUUUGCAGGUGUUGCACACAGGAAAUAACACGCGCGAGUUGCUCUACGGGUCCUUCCUGUGCCUGAUCAGAUCACAUCUUCAUUUCUGCUCUUUUAGUCAACAUCUAAUUCAUUUAAGACCAAAUAACGUGAAUUCAGAUGGUGCAUUUUUCAACCUUGGUCAGUCAGACAGAAAGUUUUAUAUAGUCCUGGCAUCAUUUCUCCCACUGGCUGAUAGUUCACUUCCCUUGAUGGGGAUUUAAGAGACACUCUUUGGCAUUUCCUCUCAUGUUGCAACUGUUAAGCAAUGGGAGAACAAACCGAAAGAGCUCAGGAGAACAGAAAGCAAGAUAAGGCCGAACGCUGACUGAAAAAACCUCUUAUCUAUGACAUGUAUAUGUUCAUUUCAACCAUUUUAUCCUUAAACAUUUGACCCCCCAGUUUUGAAAUUUGGUUGCAUGCAUGAAUAGAGGAUAAAAGCAGGAUAUUGGUGUAACAUGCAUAACUAAAAACAAGUGUUUUACUAUUCCCACUAUUUAAUCAUACUAAUUGGUAUUAACUUAAACUGAGACCCUUAAAUGAGUUUUCAGAAUUCUGUCUCCCCAAAAGGACACCUGUUAAAUAAACGCUGCAUUCGCAAUCGGUGUAUAUCUUCAGACGUGAAUAUGUGUGGACAUUAGCAUACCGGUGGGCAAGAACCAGCGAAUGACAGAAGAGCGUGAGGCACUGACUGUUAUGCCUCUUCCUGUGUGGUUGAGCACCACGUGGGUUGGCAGCGAGGUUAAAUACGAGCACUUCUCCUGUUUUAGGCCCAUUUCUACUUGGGCUGGAGAGGAAGACGCUAAAAAACGCCGGUAAGACCGCUAGAGAAGAACAUGGCAAACAUGACUACUGAUCUACGGAUGUAACGGAGCCAUAAAAGUUCUGAUGGUUUAAAGUUUGUGUAAAGUUUGGGUGGGGUUCACAGGCUGUGGAGAAGUGUGUAUGUGUGUGAAGGAGGAGCUUGAGAUCAAGCGUUCAUCACGACCUCCAGAGGAGACGUGGACACCUGGACACUGGGAAGUACAGUGCAGUCAUCCAUAAAGUAGAAAGCACUACUAAACCCCUCGCCACAGUGUAGUGUUUCCUACUUUAUGGAUGAGUGUACUGUUGGCUGCUGGGAAACUUCACGGCGCUCGAUGCACAACGAUGGGAAAGACAAAAGAGGAAGUCACUUCAUUUCGUAAAGCCGCACACGUCUCAUAGUGUCAAAACACGUCCACGUGAGGCGGUGGUGCGCUUACAGAAACUGAAGUGAUCUUUCUCUGAACGCUGUUGCUGCAAAAUUAUUGAAAAGAUGUGUCUUGUUGUUCAAAUGCAAACUUCAAUAAAACAGAAACUAAUAAAUAAAA